rnacentral:rRNA from 1 species
GACGAACCGUGCGAACGUUAUUCGGAAUCACUGGGCUUAAAGCGCGUGUAGGCGGCCCGGCACGUCCGUCGCUGAAAUCCCCCGGCUCAACCGGGGAAGUGGCGGGGAUACGACCGGGCUGGAGGGGGGUAGGGGGAGCCGGAACUUCCGGUGGAGCGGUGAAAUGCGUUGAGAUCGGAAGGAACGCCCGUGGCGAAAGCGGGCUCCUGGACCCCACCUGACGCUGAGACGCGAAAGCCAGGGGAGCGAACGGG